rnacentral:rRNA from 1 species
GACGUAGGGCGCGAGCGUUGUCCGGAUUUAUUGGGCGUAAAGAGCUCGUAGGCGGCUUGUCGCGUCGGCUGUGAAAACCCGCGGCUCAACUGUGGGCGGGCAGCUGAUACGGGCAGGCUGGAGUUCGGUAGGGGAGACUGGAAUUCCUGGUGUAGCGGUGAAAUGCGCAGAUAUCAGGAGGAACACCGGUGGCGAAGGCGGGUCUCUGGGCCGAUACUGACACUGAGGCGCGAAAGCGUGGGGAGCGAACAGG